rnacentral:lncRNA from 1 species
CCGGCCGCCGCCAUCUUGGUAAAGGACGGGGACACCGCCCAGCCGCCCGCCCACCAUCUUGGCAAAGGGUCUGGGUAGCGGGUGGCCGAAGUCGUUGUUCCUCUCCCCGAAGGGUGAACGCUGCUCCGUGCGUUGUCCAAUAUGAAAGGAAAGAACUAGGCUUUUGGCAAGCCGCCUGUCCGGAGCCCGUCUACACGGGCAGCCUCCAGACCGUUUUGGGCCGCCAUCUUGGCAAAGGAAGCGACGCUCCCCGCCGCGGGAAAACGGGAACCAAAGCGUUUGCCAAAGUAGAAGCCUCAGCCAGUAGAGUUUUUAUGAAGGGCGCUCAACAGUCCACUUGUUAACCAAAGCUCCUUCUGGAUCCAGAAGCGAUGCCUCCUCUUUGCCUUUUCUUUGGAGCAAGUCAACUAGGAGGAGGCCCUUGCCUUGGAUGCUCAUAGUGGACCCUAAAAGCAGCAUAGUGGUUAAGAAUAUGACCUCUGGGGCCAGAACGCCUGGAUUUGAACCUGACUCUGCCACUUGUUGCCUAUGUGACCCUCAUAAGCCUCGUACCCUCUGUGCCCCCGAUUCCUUAUCUGUAAAAUGAGGGAAGACAAUAGUACCUGCCUCACAGGACUGUUGGGAGGCUUAACUGAGUUCUUACAUAUAAAGCACUUAGAACAUAGCCUGGCACAUAAUAAGCAAUAAAUGAAUAUUAGUU